rfam:Triticum aestivum genome assembly, contig: Triticum_aestivum_CS42_TGACv1_scaffold_030848_1BL
CAUAUACUCCCUCCGUCCGAAAAUACUUGUCAUCUAAAUGGACAAAAAAAGAUGUAUUUAGAACUAAAAUACAUCUAGAUACAUCUCCUUUUAUUCAUUUUGGUGACGAGUAUUUCCGGACGGAGGGAGUAUGUG